rnacentral:rRNA from 1 species
AACGAACGCUGGCGGCAUGCCUAACACAUGCAAGUCGAACGAGAUCUUCGGGUCUAGUGGCGCACGGGUGCGUAACGCGUGGGAAUCUGCCCUUUGGUUCGGAAUAACAGUUGGAAACGACUGCUAAUACCGGAUGAUGACGAAAGUCCAAAGAUUUAUCGCCAGAGGAUGAGCCCGCGUAGGAUUAGCUAGUUGGUGUGGUAAAGGCACACCAAGGCGACGGUCCUUAGCUGGUCUGAGAGGAUGACCGGCCACACUGGGACUGAGACACGGCCCAGACUCCUACGGGAGGCAGCAGUGGGGAAGAUUGGACAAUGGGCGAAAGCCUGAUCCAGCAAUGCCGCGUGAGUAAUGAAGGCCUUAGGUUUGUAAAGCUCUUUUACCCGGGAUGAUAAUGACAGUACCGGGAGAAUACGCUCCGGCUAACUCCGUGCCAGCCGCCGCGGUAA